GACGAACGCUGGCGGCGUGCCUAAUACAUGCAAGUAGAACGCACAGUUUAUACCGUAGCUUGCUACACCAUAGACUGUGAGUUGCGAACGGGUGAGUAACGCGUAGGUAACCUGCCUGGUAGCGGGGGAUAACUAUUGGAAACGAUAGCUAAUACCGCAUAAUAUUAAUUAUUGCAUGAUAAUUAAUUGAAAGGUGCAAUUGCACCACUACCAGAUGGACCUGCGUUGUAUUAGCUAGUAGGUGAGGUAACGGCUCACCUAGGCGACGAUACAUAGCCGACCUGAGAGGGUGAUCGGCCACACUGGGACUGAGACACGGCCCAGAAUCCUACGGGAGGCAGCAGUAGGGAAUUUUCGGCAAUGGACGAAAGUCUGACCGAGCAACGCCGCGUGAGUGAAGAAGGUUUUCGGAUCGUAAAGCUCUGUUGUAAGAGAAGAACGGGUGUGAGAGUGGAAAGUUCACACUGUGACGGUAUCUUACCAGAAAGGGACGGCUAACUACGUG
rnacentral:rRNA from 1 species